CAAGGCUGUAUCACCCCCUCCUCGUCUUCCUCCUUCCCCAUCAAACGCGGUAGCACCCCCCUCCCCCGUCCUCCUCCCCCGUCCUCCUCCUACCCGGUAGCAUCGCCUCGCCCCCCUCCCCGUCCUCCUCAUCAACUGCAAGGCAGCAGGGAGCACCUCGCCAUCCCUUCCCCUCCGGCAGGUUUGUUCUCCAUCCCUCCCCACCAUCCCUCCUUAGUUUCGGCCUCCUCCCCUGCAGCAAUCACAAUCUCGGCCUACUCCCUAUCCCCGUUGUAAACAGAAAACUGCUAUAUUGAUGAUGGUGCUGCAUAAUUUUUUUUGUUACUGCAAAUUCAGACGUUAUGUUACUGCAAAUUCAGGUUUCGAACUAAAUGCAUCAAUUACGUUGGUUACUGCCAAAAAUGUACUGUUCUUUGUUUCUGCGGGAAAAAACAGCAUUUCCCCUCUUUUUGAGGUUUCGUGUUUACUGCAUGUUAAUUAUGUUGCUGCAGAAAAUUCAUGCUUCGUUGCUACAAAAAUACCGAGACAUUUUCCGUGUUUUUGUGCUGCCGCAUGAAUAGUUCGGUUUACUGUAAAAAAUUAGGUUUGUGUUACUGCAUAAAAAGGAGAAUAAUCCCUCACCAAUUGAGAAAUUUUUGUGUUACUGCAUAUUGACAAUGUUUUACUGUAAAUUCAUGCUGAUUUUUUUUGUUCCAAAAAAAUCAUGCUGAAAAAAUGAGGCAUUUCAAGGUUUUAUGAUACUACAUGAAUAGUCUGGUUACUGUGAAAAAUUUAUGGUUUGUGUUACUGCAAAAAAAGCAGGAUCACCCCUUCCCAAAUUGAGGCUCUGUGUUACUGUAUAUUGAUUAAGUAUUUACUGUAAAUUCAUGCUUUAUGUUGAUGAAAAAAAUUCAGAACAUGUACGAAGUGUUUGAGAAAGGAAAAGAACACGCGAUAAGGUCGACGAGGAAGAAGACGAAGAUGAUCUUUUGUACUUAAACAAGUUUAAUGUACUGUUUUGGUAGUUGUUGCUCCAGACAUACACUUAUAAUGCUAUAAUGAUAAUGCAAUGUUACUGUAGUUCUGCUGCAUUUCGUGGUCUGGUUGGUUUGUUGAUUGCAACAUUGUACAGCUAGACGUCUAUUACUGUAUAUAUACACAUAUGUUACUGUGGAAAUGUACAUACGUUACUGUGUACUAUGCAAAAUUUUGGCAGAGUUCUACCUGUAGAUAUGAACAUGCAUGACAGGAGAUUAGUGGAAAAUAUACAAGGAUGUAUGAUAAAAAGAAUCACAAUGUUAGCAUUGUUACUGCAGAUAUACACAUGUGUUGCUACAAACAUACACAUAUGCUAUUGCAUAUUAUGGAAGCAAUGGAUGUAUGUUACUGUAUAUGUAUUACUACAGAAAUCUACGUAUGUUA
rnacentral:lncRNA from 1 species